rnacentral:rRNA from 1 species
UGGGGAAUUUUGGACAAUGGGGGCAACCCUGAUCCAGCCAUGCCGCGUGAGUGAAGAAGGCCUUCGGGUUGUAAAGCUCUUUCGGCGGGGACGAAACGGUCCGUGACAACACCACGGACUAAUGACAGUACUCGCAGAAGAAGCACCGGCUAACUACGUGCCAGCAGCCGCGGUAAUACGUAGGGUGCAGGCGUUAAUCGGAAUUACUGGGCGUAAAGCGUGCGCAGGCGGCUCCUUAAGUCAGAUGUGAAAUCCCCGGGCUUAACCUGGGAACUGCGUUUGAAACUGAGGGGCUAGAGUGUGGAAGAGGGGGGUGGAAUUCCAGGUGUAGCAGUGAAAUGCGUAGAGAUCUGGAGGAACACCGAUGGCGAAGGCAGCCCCCUGGGCUAACACUGACGCUCAUGCACGAAAGCGUGGGGAGCAAACAGGAUUAGAUACCCCCGUAGUCCCUGAGCGGGCUGGCAAGGCGCAU